UGAGGAAUAUUGCGCAAUGGGGGCAACCCUGACGCAGCAACGCCGCGUGAACGAUGAAGGCUUUCGGGUUGUAAAGUUCUUUUCUGAGGGAAGAUAAUGACGGUACCUCAGGAAUAAGCUCCGGCUAACUACGUGCCAGCAGCCGCGGUAAAACGUAGGGGGUGAACGUUAUCCGGAUUCAUUGGGCGUAAAGCGCACGUAGGCGGCGCUGCAAGUUGGGCGUGAAAGCUCUCGGCUUAACUGAGAGAGGUCGUUCAAAACUGCAGUGCUUGAGGUUGGAAGAGGAGAGUGGAAUUCCCGGUGUAGUGGUGGAAUGCGUAGAUAUCGGGAGGAACACCAGUGGCGAAAGCGGCUCUCUGGUCCACACCUGACGCUGAGGUGCGAAAGCGUGGGGAGCGAACGGGAUUAGAUACC
rnacentral:rRNA from 1 species